GUGUCAGCAGCCGCGGUAAUACGGAGGAUCCGAGCGUUAUCCGGAAUCAUUGGGUUUAAAGGGUCCGUAGGUGGACGAUUAAGUCGGAGGUGAAAUCCUGCAGCUCAACUGUAGAAUUGCCUUUGAUACUGGUUGUCUUGAAUCAUUGUGAAGUGGUUAGAAUAUGUGGUGUAGCGGUGAAAUGCAUAGAUAUCACAUAGAAUACCGAUUGCGAAGGCAGAUCACUAACAAUGUAUUGACACUGAUGGACGAAAGCGUGGGGAGCGAACAGGAUUAGAUACCCUGGUAGUCCACGCCGUAAACGAUGGAUACUAGCUGUCCGGACUUCGGUCUGGGUGGCUAAGCGAAAGUGAUAAGUAUCCCACCUGGGGAGUACGUUCGCAAGAAUGAA
rnacentral:rRNA from 1 species